rnacentral:rRNA from 1 species
GACGAACGCUGGCGGCGCGCCUAACACAUGCAAGUCGAACGAGCGAGAGAGAGCUUGCUUUCUCGAGCGAGUGGCGAACGGGUGAGUAACGCGUGAGGAACCUGCCUCAAAGAGGGGGACAACAGUUGGAAACGACUGCUAAUACCGCAUAAGCCCACGACCCGGCAUCGGGUUGAGGGAAAAGGAGCAAUCCGCUUUGAGAUGGCCUCGCGUCUGAUUAGCUAGUUGGUGAGGUAACGGCUCACCAAGGCGACGAUCAGUAGCCGGUCUGAGAGGAUGAACGGCCACAUUGGGACUGAGAUACGGCCCAG